rnacentral:sRNA from 1 species
AAUGCUACGUUAAAAGCCAUCACGGGCGUUGAGGAAACUCUGCGCCCGUGUAUGCUAUCUCAAGGCGGAAAAAAUGAG